GGCCGCUUUAUGAUACAGCUGUUGGCGAUUUCCGCUCGUGGCUCAGCGAAAGCGAUAAGUUAUCCUCCUGGGGAGUACGACCGCAAGGUUGAAACUCAAAGGAAUUGACGGGGGCCCGCACAAGCGGAGGAACAUGUGGUUUAAUUCGAUGAUACGCGAGGAACCUUACCCCGGCUCGAACGGUGCAGGAAUAUGGUAGAGAUAUCAUAGCUAGCAAUAGUCUGUAUCGAGGUGCUGCAUGGUUGUCGUCAGCUCGUGCCGUGAGGUGUAGGCUUAAGUGCCAUAACGAGCGCAACCCUUGUCGUUAGUUACCAUCAAGUAAUGUUGGGGACUCUAGCGAGACUGCCACCGUAAGGUGUGAGGAAGGGGGGGAUGACGUCAAAUCAGCACGGCCCUUACGUCCGGGGCGACACACGUGUUACAAUGGUAGGUACAGAAGGCAGCUACCCAGCGAUGGGAUGCCAAUCUCCAAAACCUAUCUCAGUUCGGAUCGGAGUCUGCAACUCCACUCCGUGAAGUUGGAUUCGCCUAGUAAUCCCAUAUCAGCCCAUUAUGCGGUGAAAUACGUUCCCCGGGCCUUGGUACACCCCCGCCCGGUCAAAGCCUUGGAAAGCUGGGGGGUGCCUGAAAUUUCUUUACCGCCAAGGAACGACCCUAGGGCAAAACCCGGUAAACUGGGGGCUUAAUCCC
rnacentral:rRNA from 1 species